rnacentral:rRNA from 1 species
AACGAACGCUGGCGGCAUGCCUAACACAUGCAAGUCGAACGAGACCUUCGGGUCUAGUGGCGCACGGGUGCGUAACGCGUGGGAACCUGCCUUUAGGUUCGGAAUAACUCAGAGAAAUUUGAGCUAAUACCGGAUCAUGUCUUCGGACCAAAGAUUUAUCGCCUUUAGAUGGGCCCGCGUUGGAUUAGCUAGUUGGUGGGGUAAAGGCCUACCAAGGCGACGAUCCAUAGCUGGUCUGAGAGGAUGAUCAGCCACACUGGGACUGAGACACGGCCCAGACUCCUACGGGAGGCAGCAGUGGGGAAUAUUGGACAAUGGGCGAAAGCCUGAUCCAGCAAUGCCGCGUGAGUGAUGAAGGCCUUAGGGUUGUAAAGCUCUUUUACCCGAGAUGAUAAUGACAGUAUCGGGAGAAUAAGCUCCGGCUAACUCCGUG